GAGCUCAAAUUUGAAAUCUGGUGGCCUCAGGUCAUCCGAGUUGUAAUCUAUAGAAGUGUUUUCCGUGCUGGCUCAUGUACAAGUCCCUUGGAACAGGGCGUCAUAGAGGGUGAGAAUCCCGUCCUUGACAUGAACUACCAGUGCUCUGUGAUACAUUUUCAACGAGUCGAGUUGUUUGGGAAUGCAGCUCAAAAUGGGUGGUAAAUUCCAUCUAAAGCUAAAUAUUGGCGAGAGACCGAUAGCGAACAAGUACCGUGAGGGAAAGAUGAAAAGCACUUUGGAAAGAGAGUUAAACAGUAUGUGAAAUUGUUGAAAGGGAAACGAUUGAAGUCAGUCGUGCUCUUUGGAUUCAGCCGGUUCUGCCGGUGUACUUCCUUUGAGUGGGGUCAACAUCAGUUUUGAUCGCUGGAUAAAGGCUGGAGGAACGUAGUACCCUCGGGUAAACUUAUAGCCUCCUGUCACAUACAGUGGUUGGGACUGAGGAACGCAGCACGCCUUUAUGGCCGGGAUUCGUCCACGUACGUGCUUAGGAUGUUGACAUAAUGGCUUUAAACGACCCG
rnacentral:rRNA from 1 species